CCUACGGGUGGCAGCAGUGGGGAAUAUUGCGCAAUGGGCGAAAGCCUGACGCAGCGACGCCGCGUGAGGGAUGAAGGUCUUCGGAUCGUAAACCUCUGUCAGCAGGGAAGAACGGUCACUGUGCUAAUCAGCAGUGCAUUGACGGUACCUGCAAAGGAAGCACCGGCUAACUCCGUGCAGGCAGCCGCGGUAAUACGGAGGGUGCGAGCGUUAAUCGGCAUUACUGGGCGUAAAGCGCUCGUAGGCGGUAUGUCAAGUCAAGGGUGAAAUCCCCGCGCUCAACGUGGGAACUGCCUUUGAAACUGGCAAACUGGAGUGUGUGAGAGGAUAGUGGAAUUCCAGGUGUAGGAGUGAAAUCCGUAGAUAUAUGGAGGAACAUCAGUGGCGAAGGCGACUAUCUGGCACAUAACUGACGCUGAGGAGCGAAAGCGUGGGUAGCAAACAGGAUUAGAUACCCUUGUAGUC
rnacentral:rRNA from 1 species